rnacentral:misc_RNA from 1 species
AAGAGUUAGGGUCCUCACACGGCCCGACCUCCCAACCCUUUGCUUAUUAUACCUUUGUGUUGCCUCGGCGGGCCCGUCUCACGACCGCCGGGGGGCCGUAAAACGCCCUCUGGCCAGUUGCCCGCCCGUGGCCCAUACCUAUAAACUCUGAAUUAAGCGUGUCUUUGUCUGAGUAUGAUAUCUAAAUCAAAAAUA